UGAAUACGAGACGCUAAGGCGUCGAAGUAGUGUAUGUCAUACUUCCAAGAAAAGCUUGCACUGUCAUAGAUAAAAAACGCCUGUACCAUAACCGACACAGGUGGGUAGGUAGAGUAUACUAAGGGGCGCGAGAUAACUCUCUCUAAGGAACUCGGCAAAAUAACUCCGUAACUUCGGGAGAAGGAGUGCCUUAUUCGUAAGGUUGCAAUAACAAGAUCCAAGCAACUGUUUAUCAAAAACACAGGUCUCCGCUAAGUCGUAAGACGAUGUAUGGGGGCUGACGCCUGCCCAGUGCCAGAAGGUUAAAGAAGUUGGUUAGCAAUUGCGAAGCUGAUAACUGAAGCCCUGGUGAACGGCGGCCGUAACGAUAACGGUCCUAAGGUAGCGAAAUUCCUUGUCGGGUAAGUUCCGACCCGCACGAAAGGCGUAAUGAUUUGGAUACUGUCUCGGAGAGGGGCUCGGUGAAAUAGACUUGUCUGUGAAGAUGCGGACUACCUGCACCAGGACAGAAAGACCCUAUGAAGCUUUACUGUAACUUGAAAUUGAAAUUGGACUUUAUUCGCGCAGUAUAGGUGGGAGGCGUUGAUUAUAAUCUUGUGGGAUUAUUGGAGCCAUCAGUGAGAUACCACUCUUGUAAUGUUAGAUUUCUAACUUUGAAUCAUUAUCUGGUCAAAGAACAGUUUCAGGCGGGCAGUUUGACUGGGGCGGUCGCCUCCUAAACGGUAACGGAGGCGUACAAAGGUUUCCUCUGAACGGUUAGAAAUCGUAUCUAGAGUGUAAAGGCAUAAGGAAGCUUGACUGUGAGACCUACAAGUCGAGCAGGGACGAAAGUCGGUCUUAGUGAUCUGACGGUACUGAGUGGAAAGGCCGUCACUCAACGGAUAAAAGUUACUCUAGGAUAACAGGCUGAUCUCCCCCGAGAGUUCACAUCGACGGGGAGGUUUGGCACCUCGAUGUCGGCUCAUCGCAUCCUGGGGCGGUAGUACGUCCCAAGGGUUGGGCUGUUCGCCCAUGAAAGCGGUACGCGAGCUGGGUUCAGGACGUCGUGAGACAGUUCGGUCCAUAUCCGGUGUAGGCGUUAGAAUAUUGAGAGGAGCCUUCUUUAGUACGAGAGGACCGAGAAGGACAUACCUCUGGUGUACCAGUUAUCGUGCCAACGGUAAACGCUGGGUAGCUAUGUAUGGAGUGGAUAACCGCUGAAAGCAUCUAAGUGGGAAGCCCACCUCAAGAUAAGUAUUCUCAU
rnacentral:rRNA from 1 species